AAGCUAUUUAGGUAGCGCCUCGUGAAUUCAUCUCCGGGGGUAGAGCACUGUUUCGGCAAGGGGGUCAUCCCGACUUACCAACCCGAUGCAAACUGCGAAUACCGGAGAAUGUUAUCACGGGAGACACACGGCGGGUGCUAACGUCCGUCGUGAAGAGGGAAACAACCCAGACCGCCAGCUAAGGUCCCAAAGUCAUGGUUAAGUGGGAAACGAUGUGGGAAGGCCCAGACAGCCAGGAUGUUGGCUUAGAAGCAGCCAUCAUUUAAAGAAAGCGUAAUAGCUCACUGGUCGAGUCGGCCUGCGCGGAAGAUGUAACGGGGCUAAACCAUGCACCGAAGCUGCGGCAGCGACACUAUGUGUUGUUGGGUAGGGGAGCGUUCUGUAAGCCUGUGAAGGUGGCCUGUGAGGGUUGCUGGAGGUAUCAGAAGUGCGAAUGCUGACAUAAGUAACGAUAAAGCGGGUGAAAAGCCCGCUCGCCGGAAGACCAAGGGUUCCUGUCCAACGUUAAUCGGGGCAGGGUGAGUCGACCCCUAAGGCGAGGCCGAAAGGCGUAGUCGAUGGGAAACAGGUUAAUAUUCCUGUACUUGGUGUUACUGCGAAGGGGGGACGGAGAAGGCUAUGUUGGCCGGGCGACGGUUGUCCCGGUUUAAGCGUGUAGGCUGGUUUUCCAGGCAAAUCCGGAAAACCAAGGCUGAGGCGUGAUGACGAGGCACUACGGUGCUGAAGUGACAAAUGCCCUGCUUCCAGGAAAAGCCUCUAAGCAUCAGGUAACAUCAAAUCGUACCCCAAACCGACACAGGUGGUCAGGUAGAGAAUACCAAGGCGCUUGAGAGAACUCGGGUGAAGGAACUAGGCAAAAUGGUGCCGUAACUUCGGGAGAAGGCACGCUGAUAUGUAGGUGAAGCGACUUGCUCGUGGAGCUGAAAUCAGUCGAAGAUACCAGCUGGCUGCAACUGUUUAUUAAAAACACAGCACUGUGCAAACACGAAAGUGGACGUAUACGGUGUGACGCCUGCCCGGUGCCGGAAGGUUAAUUGAUGGGGUUAGCGGUAACGCGAAGCUCUUGAUCGAAGCCCCGGUAAACGGCGGCCGUAACUAUAACGGUCCUAAGGUAGCGAAAUUCCUUGUCGGGUAAGUUCCGACCUGCACGAAUGGCGUAAUGAUGGCCAGGCUGUCUCCACCCGAGACUCAGUGAAAUUGAACUCGCUGUGAAGAUGCAGUGUACCCGCGGCAAGACGGAAAGACCCCGUGAACCUUUACUAUAGCUUGACACUGAACAUUGAGCCUUGAUGUGUAGGAUAGGUGGGAGGCUUUGAAGUGUGGACGCCAGUCUGCAUGGAGCCGACCUUGAAAUACCACCCUUUAAUGUUUGAUGUUCUAACGUUGGCCCCUAAUCGGGGUUGCGGACAGUGUCUGGUGGGUAGUUUGACUGGGGCGGUCUCCUCCUAAAGAGUAACGGAGGAGCACGAAGGUUGGCUAAUCCUGGUCGGACAUCAGGAGGUUAGUGCAAUGGCAUAAGCCAGCUUGACUGCGAGCGUGACGGCGCGAGCAGGUGCGAAAGCAGGUCAUAGUGAUCCGGUGGUUCUGAAUGGAAGGGCCAUCGCUCAACGGAUAAAAGGUACUCCGGGGAUAACAGGCUGAUACCGCCCAAGAGUUCAUAUCGACGGCGGUGUUUGGCACCUCGAUGUCGGCUCAUCACAUCCUGGGGCUGAAGUAGGUCCCAAGGGUAUGGCUGUUCGCCAUUUAAAGUGGUACGCGAGCUGGGUUUAGAACGUCGUGAGACAGUUCGGUCCCUAUCUGCCGUGGGCGCUGGAGAACUGAGGGGGGCUGCUCCUAGU
rnacentral:rRNA from 1 species